GGCUUGAUCUGGAAUGUGUUGGACUUCUGGGAGAAUUACUGAAUGGGACAGGAACUCCUUUCCACAUCCCUAGUUAUAACAGGUUAUAUAUUUCUGUUUAGAUUCCACAAGAACACAGCCAUGGGGAAAAAUAAAUCAGCAGAGCCAAAAAGAUGAUAAAGAAAACUGAACCUCCUGCAAUGCUCCCAAUGAGAACAAUGUCCAGCAGCCCUAGCUCAGAGAGAAGAAGGAGAUGUCACAGG